AGAUCCAAAAAGUGGCGGAAUGCUCUCGAAACCAAUUCAUUUGAGUGAGACAAAGGAGAGGGGAAUUUCAUGUGUAGGGGUGAAAUCCGGAGAUCUACAAAGGAAAGCCAAGAUCGGUAGAGCAC